rnacentral:rRNA from 1 species
AUUGAGCGCUGGCGGCAGGCUUAACACAUGCAAGUCGAGCGGGGAAAAGUAGCUUGCUACUUGACCUAGCGGCGGACGGGUGAGUAAUGCUUAGGAAUCUGCCUAUUAGUGGGGGACAACAUCUCGAAAGGGAUGCUAAUACCGCAUACGUCCUACGGGAGAAAGCAGGGGACCUUCGGGCCUUGCGCUAAUAGAUGAGCCUAAGUCGGAUUAGCUAGUUGGUGGGGUAAAGGCCUACCAAGGCGACGAUCUGUAGCGGGUCUGAGAGGAUGAUCCGCCUCACUGGGACUGAGACACGGCCCAGACUCCUACGGGAGGCAGCAGUGGGGAAUAUUGGACAAUGGGGGGAACCCUGAUCCAGCCAUGCCGCGUGUGUGAAGAAGGCCUUUUGGUUGUAAAGCACUUUAAGCGAGGAGGAGGCUACCGAGAUUAAUACUCUUGGAUAGUGGACGUUACUCGCAGAAUAAGCACCGGCUAACUCUGUGCCAGCCGCCGCGGUAACAC